AACGCGAAGAACCUUACCUACCUUUGAAUCCACGGAAUUUUGCAGAGAUGUGAGAGUGCCUUCGGGAACCGUGAGACAGGUGCUGCAUGGCUGUCGUCAGCUCGUGUCGUGAGAUGUUGGGUUAAGUCCCGUAACGAGCGCAACCCCUAUCCUUAGUUACCAACGAGUGAAGUCGGGGACUUUAAGGAGACUGCCGGUGAUAAACCGGAGGAAGGUGGGGAUGACGUCAAGUCCUCAUGGCCCUUACAGGUAGGGCUACACACGUGCUACAAUGGUCGGUACAAAGGGUAGCGAACACGCGAGUGGGAGCCAAUCUCAAAAAGCCGAUCGUAGUCCGGAUUGGAGUCUGCAACUCGACUCCAUGAAGCUGGAAUCGCUAGUAAUCGUGGAUCAGAACGCCGCGGUGAAUACGUUCCCGGGCCUUGUACACACCGGUACUA
rnacentral:rRNA from 1 species